CGAUGAGAGCCAAUCACGAGCGUGAAAACGGUCAUUACCGGCGCCUAGAACAUGAUAAUGUCAAGAUGAAUCACCUAGAGAGUGGCGUGUUUUCAAGAGUUCGUGUUGCCUGUAAAUAUAGGUUUGGAACAGAAGACGGUGGGUGCCUUGAGAUCUCUAGUCGGGCAUACUUGAAUUUGCUCAGCUGACGAAACGCACGCGCCAGAUUGAAGAAUCCUUGAGUACUAGUGGUUGUAGAAUAGUUUAGACAACUUCAUCUUGCGAAGACUUGACUAUCCAAGAUUUCCGGUGACCAACUAAUAGUAAAUUAAAUAGUUUCGUUUUACACCAACCAAAAUUUCACCAUUCAGGAGUAAGCCCAUGAAGCAAUCAUAACUCAUGAUUGUAGGCCACAUGAACGACAGUGUGGCGGGUCCCCACCUCUCUGUAGUUUCGAACAUGCUGUCUCAGAGUUCAUGCCCCAGCGUCAACCCUUCAUCCCCCAGUCCCAUGCUCCCAUCGUUUGGAUUCACACAAGAGCAGGUAGCUUGUGUCUGUGAAGUGCUUCAACAGUCCGGUAACAUCGAAAGGCUCGGCCGGUUCCUUUGGUCACUACCGGCCUGCGAACAUCUUCAGAAGAAUGAGAGUGUGCUGAAGGCUAAAGCUCUGGUAGCCUUUCAUCGAGGCAACUUCAAGGAACUGUAUCGAAUUCUGGAGAGUCACAACUUCUCGCCAGCGUCCCACUCGAAACUCCAAGGGCUUUGGCUCCAAGCCCAUUACACCGAAGCCGAGAGGAUCCGCGGCCGGCCACUGGGAGCGGUCGGCAAGUACCGGAUCCGCCGAAAGUUCCCGUUACCUCGAACGAUCUGGGACGGGGAAGAGACUAGUUAUUGCUUCAAAGAGAAGUCACGCAACAUACUUCGAGACUGGUACUCGCAUAAUCCCUACCCCUCGCCACGUGAGAAGCGUGAGCUAGCCGAGGCCACUGGACUGACGACCACUCAAGUCAGCAACUGGUUCAAAAACAGAAGGCAAAGGGACAGAGCGGCAGAAACAAAGGACAGGGACGUUGGUGAGAAGGGGAAGAAUUCCGAUUCGACCAAAGGCACGGGAGCAGAAAGUUCCGAAAAAGACGACCACCAAACGGGAACAGACCAUCGGCAGAACUCCGACUCCGAGCCAGCUAGUAGUUCCGAUGGCAUCUUCCCCACAGAGCUCAAAUCAGCAAGCAUGAAUGUUGCGGCUCCUAGUCCGAUAUUACACCAUCACCCCGUCGCCACAAUCUCGCCAGCUUCGUCGGUUGGAAUCCCUCAAACCGUCGCCCUAGGUGGCGCUUUCCGUCUAAACCACCCGCCGGAGUUUUCGACAACGAUGCACGGAACGCUGUUACACCCGCAGCUUGGAGAUUUCGGGUUAGGCUUACCAACGGAUUAUCAUGCUUUAUGACGGUCAGUGGCGGGGACUGUCCGAUUGUAAAGCCAAGGUGUCCGGCCAGGACCCGCCGCCACCCAGUACUGUAAGCUCCUCUGUGCUUUUUCAUUCCCUCAUUAGAAUCCGCAGUGUGGGCUGAUGCUUUGUACUUUUCGAUUAUUUAUGAAAUAGACAACGUGUCGCUAGCAGCCGCCAUGUUUGUACAUGUAAUGUAAAGUUCUGAUAUACUUGUGGUAACGCUUUUUACAUAUACUUGUAAGAAAACAAAGUCAUUUCACAACACGUUUCUGAAGAUAUCGACAGUGAAUAAAUAAUGGGAUUUAUGCCUUCACACAUCUUACAUAUGCACAUGUUCGGUAUUUAGAAGUUUUAAAAAGUAUAUCGAUCACCGUAAUAGCUAAUCUGCUUAAAUUAAACUAUGAACUUAUACGUCUAAAUAAGUUUCUUAAAAGUAAAUGGGUAGAAAAAACUUACCUGUACAACAUUACAUAAUUUACAUACUGAUUUCUUCCUGAUUUUAGUAGACUAAUUAGCAGAAAAAAAAUCAUUCAGAUUUCUGUUUCAUUGUUAAAAAAAAAACAACGCGACAGCUGCAUGUAAAAAAGAAAAGGCUUUAAUACUAUGGUUUACACAAAGUACCAGAAUUUCUUUUUUCUCUGUAUCAUACCAAAGAGAGAGAAAAAAAUUAAAUGAAAAUAAGGUAACUUUUAUAUUUUAUGGAAUAUUUAGUAAAAUUUGUUAAUGUAUAAUGAUUAGAAGAAAAAAGUCUCAUAUAAUCAUGAUGACCAAAAAUAAAUAGUGUCUACUAAAUACAUUAACUAGCUCUAAACUUAUUGUGAAGAAGAAAUAAUUAAUCAUAACAAGAAAAAUUUGGUAUUAAAACUUAAGUUAGUGUUCGGUUCUUUAAAUUUUAUAUUUUUUUUGUUGAAAUUGAAAUUACUUAGCAGUUAUCGUCAAACAAGAGGGAGUGUAGAGCAGGAAGUAAGAACUUUGUUGGUUUAUACAUUAUUACCAUCAAUAAUCAAUCAAAAGAAAACAAUAGAGUCACAUUUAAUGAUUUUUUUGUUCUUUUUAACACUACGUGAUAUAGAUGAACAAUGUUGUACGUAAUUAUUCAUGGAAACCUCCUGAGUAAAAUCUGUGUCUGGAAACUAACUGAAAUCGUCAGGACAACUUGGUAUGUCUUUUGUUUUUUUCCUUAACUACAGGUUACUGAGACUAAUAGUCUGGAAAUAUAAUAAAUUAUCUCUCCUUGCGACUAAUAUAUUAGUGCCCGAUAAGGAGAGUAUAUUCUGAUAUUUUGUAUAGUGUCAACAAUUAUGGUCUUCUCAACUCUGAACUUUAUCUUCCUAUCCCUAUACCUCCUAUUGUUAGGCCUUAUUUAGCCAUAUACAUAUGUUUUUAUAAUGAACUAUUUAAAAUUCAGAAAUAAAAACAGUCACAAUGUAGCUUAAACCGAAAUGACACAAACUAGAUUUUAUCUUCAGGCUACGUAUACUUAUUUUUUUAUCUUUAGAAUAAUCACAAAUACACAUAAAUUAUACGUGUUAUCCAGCUUUACUUUCAAGGUUGUUUCAUUUCCCUUCUGUCGAAAUUUACUUCAAUAUUUGUUAUUUUUCGCAAACAUUUAGAGAAUGUUAAAAAUACCAGAUACUGUCAUCAUGGUUUUAUGUAGUCUAAGCAGAAAAUAUUUUAUACCUCCAUAAAUCUAAUAAUAAAUUAAUUUUUAAUAUGGCAUGGUUCUGCUAAUAAUUUAUCCAAAAUAUAAAAAAGGAUAAAAAGAUCAAUAAAAUAUGUAAAUGAAAACGGAACAAUUAUAAAAUAAAUAAAUAAGUAUGUUUUUUAGCAUUAUGUCUUCAGGAAAUUUAGCUUAUACCAUGAAUAAUCCAGGAUAAGCCUCUCGAAUAGUUUCAUAAUUUUCACGUAAUUUACAAUCUAUUUUUAAAAAAUCUGUUUCUCAUAAUUAUUUCUAUAUCAGGUAUGAUUUUACUUGGCUUUAGGAUGAAAUUAUUCCUAUAUCAGGUAUGAUUUUACUUGGUUUUAGGAUGAAAUUAUUCCUAUAUCAGGUAUGAUUUUACUUGGCUUUAGGAUGAAAUUAUUUUAAUCGUAAUAAUGUAGCUUCCAAUGUUGAUCUUUUUUACACGAAACGAAUAUAAUCUACUUUUUAAUCGACGUUUUAGCUGUAUAAUAAUAUUAUAUAAGUAUUAAAAAUGUAUUCUACAUAAUCGAUUCUUUAAACUCCAGAUUAAUGUGUACAUUUUUCUAACAUCAUUCCUCAGUUAAGUACAGCACAUGUGAAAGUUCAGUUAUUCCUUAAUAGGUAAAGAUUUUUAAGUAUUGAAUUAAUGCUUCUUGCAUUACUGAUGAUAUUCAACCAAACCGUUUCUUCAUUAAAGAUAACGCUUUAGUCGUGUUUCGUCAUGCAAACUCUGCCAAAUAUUUGUCUCUGUUUGUAUGGGUGUGAAUAGUGAUGCUCAUAUAUUACCUGGUGUGCAUAUUAUAUGUAAUUCAGCACAAAGUGUUAUGUAAAUAAACUUAAAAAUUUCUUGAAACUUACUCAGUUUAGAUUUAUUCAUUGAUUUGUCCUCUUGAAUUUAAUUUUCAUUUAAGAAAUUCUUCCAUUUCUUUAACUUUUUUUUUAAUAGAAAGCGUUAACUAUUGCAUUUGUAUAAUCUUGAAGCCUUAAACAAUCAGUCAGGAAAUACUUCAAAAUCAGAUUAAAACAAUAAACUAAAAUAUUUUCAUAUACCAUCUCUACCUGACACCACGUUAGGCUUAGCAAAAAUAUUGCUAGGCUUAACAACACAUCUUUCACUCGUUUAUGUUUCUUACUCGCAAUUACUUUUAACAGUU
rnacentral:misc_RNA from 1 species